GGAAAAUUAUACUCUCUUAUUCAAUUUAAUUAGACUAUGAAUCUAAUCCUAUUUUAUUUCAUCGAAAAUUUCUCGUACAUUAUCUCUUUAAAAGAUUUUAAAAAUACAUAAAAUUUAUUUAAGAAAAAGAAGAGAUGAGCUUAAAAGAGAGCAUUAAUGACAUGUAUUUGGGUAUGGAAAGUAUAUUUGAGUGUGUGAAUUAAGAGUAUGUAUGUAUUUUCAUGGUGGAAUUUAGAAUGUUACAGUGCUUGGGACAUUGUGAUGGCUUGAGAAAAUGACAUAAAAUUUGUUUUGAAAAAGAACGACGGGUUUAAAAGAAAGUACACUAAUAAGGUAUAGUUGGGUAUGAAAAGUACGUAUGAGUGUUUGAAUUAAGAGUAUGUAUGUAUUUUCAUGGUUAAAUUUGGGAUGUUACAAUAGUUAGGACGUAAUUGUGGCUUCAAAAAAGACUCAAAUAUACUAGUGAACUUAAUAAAAAGACUCAAAUAUGCCACUCGUAAAGGGGGCAUGAGAGGGUAGGGGACUGGUAAGUGAUGAAGGGUUUAGAUGAUGCCCCGUGGCAAAAUCCGGUAGUAGUUGGAUUCCGUUAGUGAAAACUAGGAUAUAUGAGCCAAUAGUGUAACAUUAGUAGGAUGAAUAUAUUCAACUCUUAACGGAUGACAUAAAUAGGCUCUUUCUUAAAAUUCGAUGGCAUAUCUGAACCUUUUCCAUAUUACAAAAGAACCAUUGUAAUGAAAUUUUUUAUUUUAAGAACCAUUCUAGAUAUAACGUAUAGUGUAAAUGGGCUAUAUAGGUUUGGACCAACGUAGUCGACAGCCGUUAGAACACUAACAGUACAUAACGCAUACCAUAUAUGUGCAUUAUGCAAAUAUAGGUGUAGGUUAUGCAAAUACGUUAGAACUCUGGAUAACUUGUAUUUAAAUCAAAUUGAUCCCAUAGUGAUUGCACCUUAUUUUUUAUCUCGAUGGAACAUAUACUCUACGAUAUUGAAGAGCUGCUACAAAAUUUUACGUUAGAAUAAAUUAAUCAUAUACUAGGUUUUUGCUAAAAAAUAUUCCUCACAAAAAUCAUUAUUGUUGGGUUGCUAUACUCUGCCACCCUUUUAGGCUCCAUUUCCCCUUAUCUUUUUGUGUUUGAAAUUAAAUUAUAUAUGCUUAUAAUAUGAAUAAUAUUUACAUUAUUUGUUGUAAUUAAUCUGCUAUAGAAUGUUCAUUUACAUAUGUUCAAAGUUAUCAACUUAUCGUAUCUUAUGUAAUCUUGUUUGAUUGUGUAGAAAAAUUGGGUCCAGCCAUAAGGGAUGCUUUAAGGCCCAAUAGGGUUAUUUUUUAACUCUAAUACUCCCUAUAUAAGUAUACUUACUAUGUACAAUAAAACAACUCUUAGCAGUAUUUUUCCAUGCUCUCUUCUCCCAAAUCAGACGAGGGGUUUAAAUUGUGAUACACAGGUUGCUCCGUCACAACGUGACAACCAUCACCGACCAGCGAUUCCAGCCGCGGUUCGUCCGUCUUCUACUUCCGCUUCACGAAGAACAAUUUUGGCAAGGGGAAGCAGCAAACUUAAGGCAACAACUGAAUUACUUGCAAGAAAGCCACAGGUAAAUCGAUGAGAUAUGGUAGCGCAUUUAUAGCCAUUGAGUACCUUAGUAUUGCAGCCACUGUUGAUACAUGCUUUUACAGCAAAAAACCUUUUCAUAUGAAUGCAGACCGACUAGAGAACAUAGGACUGCAGGGUAUAAAGCAGUGAAUUUAGAAGCUAAAGAGACUCACUUCUCAGGCAAAUAUGGCCCAACUAUUGCACUUAUAUCUACACUCAAGCUAGAAACAGAGCAAAUCAGCAUCCAGAAGUGUUUGCAUACACUAUCAUCGAUAAUUUUUUCUAGGGGCCCAAAUCUAGAUUAUGGAUCACCAAAAGUUUCCACG